ACGAACGCUAGCGGGAGGCCUAACACAUGCAAGUCGAACGGGAUCCCCGAGCAAUCGGGGUGAGAGUGGCGCACGGGUGAGUAACGCGUAUGCAACCUGCCUUUAACUGAGGGAUAGCCCAUAGAAAUGUGGAUUAAUACCUCAUAGUUCUGCGAGACCGCAUGGUUUUGCAGAUAAAGCUCCGGCGGUUAAAGAUGGGCAUGCGUGACAUUAGUUAGUUGGUGAGGUAACGGCUCACCAAGACUACGAUGUCUAGGGGUUCUGAGAGGAUGAUCCCCCACACUGGUACUGAGACACGGACCAGACUCCUACGGGAGGCAGCAGUGAGGAAUAUUGGUCAAUGGGCGCAAGCCUGAACCAGCCAUCCCGCGUGAAGGAUGACGGCCCUAUGGGUUGUAAACUUCUUUUAUACACCAAGAAAAACACCCACGUGUGGGUGCCCGACGGUAGUGUAUGAAUAAGCAUCGGCUAACUCCGUGCCAGCAGCCGCGGUAAUACGGAGGAUGCAAGCGUUAUCCGGAUUUAUUGGGUUUAAAGGGUGCGUAGGCGGUCUAUUAAGUCAGCGGUGAAAGUUUUCAGCUUAACUGGAAAAAUGCCGUUGAUACUGAUAGGCUAGAAUAUGGUUGCUGUGGGUGGAAUGUGUGGUGUAGCGGUGAAAUGCUUAGAUAUCACACAGAAUAUCAAUUGCGAAGGCAGCUCACAAAGCCAUUAUUGACGCUGAGGCACGAAAGUGUGGGGAUCAAACAGGAUUAGAUACCCUGGUAGUCCACACCGUAAACGAUGAUAACUCGCUGUUUGCGAUAUACAGCAAGCGGCUGAGCGAAAGCAUUAAGUGAUCCACCUGGGGAGUACGAUCGCAAGGUUGAAACUCAAAGGAAUUGACGGGGGCCCGCACAAGCGGAGGAACAUGUGGUUUAAUUCGAUGAUACGCGAGGAACCUUACCUGGGCUUAAAUGUAGAUUGCAUGAUGUAGAAAGGCUGAUUCCCUUCGGGGCUGCUUACAAGGUGCUGCAUGGUUGUCGUCAGCUCGUGCCGUGAGGUGUCGGGUUAAGUCCCAUAACGAGCGCAACCCUUAUCGUUAGUUGCCAGCGGGUCAAGCCGGGGACUCUAGCGAGACUGCCACCGUAAGGUGUGAGGAAGGUGGGGAUGACGUCAAAUCAGCACGGCCCUUAUGUCCAGGGCUACACACGUGUUACAAUGGCCAAUACAAAGGGCAGCUACCGGGCGACCGGAUGCUAAUCUCUAAAGCUUGUCUCAGUUCGGAUCGAAGUCUGCAACCCGACUUCGUGAAACUGGAUUCGCUAGUAAUCGCGCAUCAGCCAUGGCGCGGUGAAUACGUUCCCGGGCCU
rnacentral:rRNA from 1 species